CAAGUACUCCCUCCGUCCGGAAAUACUUGUCCUCGAAAUGGUUGUAUCUAGACUUAUUUUAGUUAUAGAUACGUCCAUUUCGAGGACAAGUAUUUCCGGAAUGAGGGAGUAUUAG
rfam:Triticum aestivum genome assembly, contig: Triticum_aestivum_CS42_TGACv1_scaffold_148693_2BS